rnacentral:rRNA from 1 species
CUGAAGAGAGGAGCUUGCUCUUCUUGGAUGAGUUGCGAACGGGUGAGUAACGCGUAGGUAACCUGCCUGGUAGCGGGGGAUAACUAUGGGAAACGAUAGCUAAUACCGCAUAAAAUGGAUUAUCGCAUGAUAAUGCAUUGAAAGGUGCAAAUGCAUUACUACCAGAUGGACCUGCGUUGUAUUAGCUAGUUGGUGGGGUAACGGCUCACCAAGGCGACGAUACAUAGCCGACCUGAGAGGGUGAUCGGCCACACUGGGACUGAGACACGGCCCAGACUCCUACGGGAGGCAGCAGUAGGGAAUCUUCGGCAAUGGACGGAAGUCUGACCGAGCAACGCCGCGUGAGUGAAGAAGGUUUUCGGAUCGUAAAGCUCUGUUGUAAGAGAAGAACGAGUGUGAGAGUGGAAA